ACAUAAAUACCCUAGGAUGUUGUUAAAAUGCCAAUUCACAUUCGGAAGUCUGUCUUGGGGCAUGAGAUGUUGCAUUUCUAGCAAACUCCUAAGUGAUGCUAAU
rnacentral:pre_miRNA from 1 species